rnacentral:lncRNA from 1 species
CUGGGCCACAGCAAGACUCCAUCUCCAUCUCAAAAAAAAAAAAAAGAAAAAGAAAAAGAACAGGAAGGAGACCCUAUCUGAUGCUCACAGUUCAUGCUAAAGGUAAAGAUGCACAUCACGUAAGUCAUGUUGAACACUGUUUUCCUUCUUUCCAAAUAAACUACUAAAAGCCAAUAUCUACAGUGACGGUAAGACAAGUAUUUUCACAAGUUUAUUUUGGUUUGCAGAUCCAUCAUUUUUUGAUCCUAGAGAAGCACUGAGUUACAAACAGGGUCCAGUUUCGUCAUUUAACAUUUCCAAGUGGAGACUCUUGAAAGACUCUUGGGCUUUUUCCAAAUGGAAAAAUUUAAUGAUUUAACGAUAGUAACAACAACAACAAUAGCAAAAUGCCCACGGGAAUUGAGAGCGAAUUUGAAUAUUUUCAGUCUAAACGAUGGCUUUUCACAAAGACUUUCUGUACAUUACAACUUGGCAUAGAUUUAAAUACCACAACCUCAGUGACCUCACAAUUGAGUUAUCAAAGCUACUAUAACUACUUGGAUUUGGAAUCCAGGCCUUAGCAAGGAUCUCUACCCAUCUGUUCUUACUUAGAGACAGUCUGCCUUUGAGCUCUGCUGGUGACCAAAACCUAAAUUGUAGCAGACAAAACACAGUCUUUUAUCAUGAAACAACAUAAACCAGAGCAGAAAUUUAAGGUUCUUCUCUUUUGAAAACUCAGAAUGUCUUUCAAAUAUCUUACCCAUGUGUAACACAUUCUGGAAAUUUUAACCCAAUUUCAUAAUGAGUGUAGACUUGAGAACAGACAUAGUUUAAAGACCAGACAUACUUAUAAGUUAAUUAGAUCUAUGCCUCUCAGGGAUAUAGCAGUGUUCUUAUUCUACAUAUACAUGAAGAAUUUAUAUUUUCACACCAGUAGGAAGUAUACCUACAUUAAGCCUUGGCAACAUGGCCAAACUCAUCUCUACAAAAUAUCAAAAAUUAGCCGGGCAUGAUGGCUCAUACUUGUAUUCCCAGCUACUCAGCAGGCUGAGGUGAAAGGAUCUCUUGAGCCAGGGGAGGUUGAGGCUGCAGAAAGCCGUGAUUGUACCACUGCACUUCAACUUGGGUGACAGAGUGAGACCCUGUCUCAGAAGAAGAAGAAAGAGGAAAGAAGAAAGAAGGAAGAAGAAGAAAAGAAGUAUACCUGCAUAUUAUAUAGAACAAGCUGCAGUGAGGACCUGAUAGUCAAAAUUACUUGGAGGAAAAUCACAGCUCUUCUCCCCUAGAAAGUCUGCUGAGUCUCACCAGGAGAAUCUCACAGGGAGGCUGCCACGAAUUCUCUCUGCAAGGACUGUGAAACUCAGAAUUGCUGAUGGAAUUUUGUGCAUCUGUCCUGUUGGAGAGAGGAAUUUUUCACUGGAGAAAGCUCAAGCAUGAAGGCUGAAUGGUGGAAGAAGUAGGCUCUGAUGGACAUUACAGUUUAUCCCUCCAGAUCCACUUUCCUUCCCCAGGCCACGCUCCAUCCUGCUCUGUGCUUCACCAAGUUGGCCUGUAUGGGCUAUGCUGGUGGCUUCUUUGCAUUCUGUCCUUUGGUUGGGCCUAGCCAAUGAGAGGCACUGGUAAGGGAUGAGAGGGUGGAGAAGAAUGAGGUUGCAUUAUAUAUUCUCUAAGCUCAUUCUCUGGUGGCCUGCCACGAAUUGGCCACCUCACUCCACCAAAAGUAGUUCUUUCUGUCAGGUAGCCCUUUCUAUGAAACUACUCUCUUUGAGUUCAAGCAACUUCUUCCUCCUCUUACACUUUAGAUCAAGGGGUGGUAACAGCUCCUAGCCCUUGCUAGCCUGAGAUUGCUGUACAAAUUUACUGGUUUUCUUGAUGUCUGCCUACACAUUAUUAAACUCUUCUCAUUAUCCAAGUUUGUAAAUGCCUUCUAUUUCUUGCCAGGAUCCCAACUGAUAUGGUUAGCCUGUGGAUUGAUUUCUUUAAACUCAUGUUUUCACCCCUUGUCCCAUCAGACAUGGUCAGGAGCUGUAAGUUUAAAUACCACAAACACAACUGAAGGCCAGCCCAUGCAUUUCCAGUGAAAACACUUUUAUGAAUAGAGG